UGUGAACUGCAGGACACAUGAAUAUUGGCACUUUGAAAGCAAAUGGCGGCCCUCG
rnacentral:rRNA from 1 species